UGUUUUUUUUUUUUUUUUUUUUCCAACUAGCCUAUAUGAAAUUUACUCAGAAACUUGGAGAGAAUUAUGGUAACUAUCUCAUUCCUUACCUAAUUAAUUCUUUCCACACAGAAACUUGGAGUGAAUGUUCUUUAUUUUUGUUGUUUUUCUUGCAAUAUGAUAGGCCAUAACAAUAACAAAGCGUUAGUCACAAAUAUUGAGGUUAUUAUGGAUGAAAGCUAUAGCUUGGUGUUACCACUCAAAGUAUUCUCUGCUUUUAAGGAUAGCUUAAUUUCAUGGAGAAUGAUUUUUGGACUUCUCAACCAGUAAGACUUCAUUGAACAAGGAUUGCUUGGAGAGUUCUGUUACUUCAUAACGAAGGCAUUCCUUUCAUCUUUGGAUUAAUUUAUUAAGGUUGCUUAGCAUACCAUGGAUUAUGUUAGAGAUAUAGCACCUGUGAAAUAUCAUAUGAAUCUAGCACCUUGUUGGAGUUUUUUGUUUAGUGCUCUGCCUGAUAGGUUCAUGCUUGAUGGUAUAUUUGUGUUGCUGUUGUCAAGUGUCAUUCUUUUGUUUUCCUGAGUUGUAAUUGUCUUAGUGCUCUGUUUGCUGGUUCAGACUUGCUGUUGUAUAUGUGUUGCUGGUUUUCGGCUUGGUUUCAAUGAAAUUUCUGCCUCAUUAUCCAAAAAUAAAAUAAAAUAAAAUCUAGCACCUUCUAUUCUCAAGAACAGGAGUUCCUAACUUUUCUAAUGGCUUUUAAAUUGAAUACUAGACAACAAAAGCUAUCAGACAGAAGGGAACAAAUGAUUUUAUUUCUAACAAUUUGAGUUCCAAAGUAAAAUUAUAAGGUCUUUACACAAAUUGAACCCUUUUUCCUCAUUUUUUGUAAAAAAUUUCCAAUUAUGUUGUAUAAGUAAAUUCUCUUCUGGGCAGAAGUUGGCUUUCAAGGUGAAGGCAAGACUGUUCACCUAAAUGAGAAAGACCGAUGCUUUGAAAACAUGAACUUCCUCUCUUUGUGGUCCUGGGAUGUUGGAAUGGAUACCAAGGCUUAUUUGAUUGAACUCACUGAGUAAAAUUUGGCUCAGGGUGAUAUCGAGGUAAUAUUGCAAGGAGAAUUAAAUCUUACAACCAUGCUGCUGGAAUUAGCUCAUUGUAUAGGAAUUUUGCUGCUUCAAAUCCUUUUUAUAUGUGGAAAUUUGUCAAGAGUAGACUAAGCUUUUCACAUUCCAGGGUUCAAAAUUUAUUUCAAAAGGAUUCAAUUCGUGUGUCUACAGGUGCACACAUCUCCAUUCUCAGUUCCCUUCAAAUUUAUUAAAUACCAGAUUAGUUCUCUCUUAGCUUUUCCCUUUGGUUUCAGGUAUGGGGACUUUAUUAGUUAUUGGGUUCUAUACUUCUAUAUGCAAAUGCCUGAGGAUAAUUGAUAAUACAGCAGACAGGAGUUUAGUAAUGCAUGUUUUUCUAAAUCUACUUGGUACAAAAAUUAUGCAGAAACUAAGAAAAAGAAUGGUUCCCAUGAAUGAAGACCAUGCUUUUAAGGAUAGUUUAAUUUCAUGAAUUAUUAUUUGAAGAUAUUUCCCCAUGGUCUUGGCGCUCAUUGAUGAAGACAAAAGGUGUUGGAAGGUUGAUUUUGUUAGAAGAACCUACCUACCUUUGAAGCAGACAUCAUCCUAAACAUCCCUCUCAGCUACACCCUCCUAGAUGAUCAAAUCAUAUGAAUUGGAAGCAAGAAAGCCUAGCCUAUUUGGUACAACCAGAAUCAGAUGGUACAUGAGUCAAUCUCAUCACUUCCCAUCCAAAUAUGGGAAACUGCUAGGAGAACUGUCAAGGAUUGCAAAGGUGCCCUUAUCAACUGCAUUUCAGCUGAAAUCCAACCCAGCUUUGUGCUGGACUGCCCCACCUCCUAGCACUCACAAAUAUGGUAGAAAAAGUUCUCAUAAAUGAAGAUUGUUGGCACUUAGAGACUUCUUAACUUGAUUAGUUCUGUGAACAAAAGGAUUGUUUGGUGAAUUUUGUAAAAUCGUAAACAAGACAUUUGCUUUCAUCUUAGCUCCAAUUUCUCAAUGUUGCUCCAAUUUCUCAAUGUUGCUUACCAUACCAUGAUGUUAUAGACACAUUUUGAGAUAGGAAACCUGUAAAAUAUCAGAUGAUGAAAUUUCAAAUGAAGAAAUUUCAGAUGAAGAACCAAAGAAACCUACUCUUAAGAAGUGGGACUUAAUGAAAGCUUUUGGGUGCUGCAAUUGUUCAACAACUGAAUAACUCACUCACUGAGUCAAAUUGGCACAAGGUAAUAUUACUUGGGGAAUUGAAUCCGGUAACCAUGCUGUUGGAACCACCUCAUUGUACAGGUGUUUCAAGCUUUUAUCAAGUACAUUUGUAUAGCCAGCUUUCUACAACAAUAUGUGGCUUUCUCAAGUGAUUCUUGGACUUCUUAACUUGAGGAGUUCCAUGAACAAAAGGAUUGUUUAGUGAGUGCUGUAAAAUCAUAAACAAGACAUUUGAUUUCAUCUUUGCACCAAUUUCUUAAGGUUGCUUACCAUACCAUGAAGUCUUUGCACUUUUUUCUCAAGUUUGUUUACCAUACCACGAAGUUAUAGACAUUUUGAAAUAGGAAAUCUGUAAAAUAUCAGGUAAUUUUAUUUCCAAUAGUUGAGGUUCCAAAAAAAUUUGUAAAUAUAGUCUUGGCACAGAUUGGAUAUUUGAAUAUGUAUGUUUUUCAUUUAUUUUUAUUUUUUUAGUUA